GACGAACGCUGGCGGCGUGCUUAACACAUGCAAGUCGAACGGAAAGGCCUGCUUUCCCUUGUGGAUUGCGGGUACUCGAGUGGCGAACGGGUGAGUAACACGUGAGUGAUCUGCCCCCAACUUGGGUAUAAGCCUGGGAAACUGGGUCUAAUUCCCGAUAGGACUGCAGGGUGGUGCCUGUGGUGGAAAACGAUUUUCUAGUGGCUGGGGAUGAGCUCGCGGCCUAUCAGCUGGUUGGUGGGGUAAUGGCCUACCAAGGCGGCGACGGGUAGCCGGCCUGGGAGGGUGGACGGCCACAUUGGGACUGAGAUACGGCCCAGACUCCUACGGGAGGCAGCAGUGGGGAAUAUUGCACAAUGGGCGGAAGCCUGAUGCAGCGACGCCGCGUGGGGGAUGACGGCCUUCGGGUUGUAAACUCCUUUCGACCGCGAGGAAGCCACCUGGCUGGAAGGGUGGUGACGGUAGUGGUAGAAGAAGCACCGGCUAACUACGUG
rnacentral:rRNA from 1 species